AUUGAACGCUGGCGGCGUGCUUUACACAUGCAAGUCGAACGGCAGCACGGACUUCGGUCUGGUGGCGAGUGGCGAACGGGUGAGUAAUACAUCGGAACGUACCUUUUAGUUGGGGAUAACGCAUCGAAAGAUGUGCUAAUACCGAAUAAUCUCUGAGGAGGAAAGGCGGGGCUCGGAAACGACCUGUCGCUGAAAGAGCGGCCGAUGGCCGAUUAGCUAGUUGGCGGGGUAAAUGCCCACCAAGGCGAUGAUCGGUAGCUGUUCUGAGAGGAAGAUCAGCCACACUGGGACUGAGACACGGCCCAGACUCCUACGGGAGGCAGCAGUGGGGAAUUUUGGACAAUGGGGGCAACCCUGAUCCAGCAACGCCGCGUGAAUGAAGAAGGCCUUAGGGUUGUAAAGUUCUUUUGUCGCAGAGCAAAAUGCUUGUACUAAUACUAUGAGUAGAUGAGAGUAUGCGAAGAAUAAGCACCGGCUAACUACGUGCCAGCAGCCGCAGUAA
rnacentral:rRNA from 1 species